CGCCGGAGACCCAGGUUCGAUCCCGACUACGGGUCCUUGUCUGUAAAGGUGUUUGUACGUUUUCCCCGAGACCGCGUUCGUUUUCGCCGGGAUCUUCGGUUCCCCCCCGCACUCCAAAGAUGUACAGGUUUGUCGGUAAAUUGGCUUGGUGUAAGUGUAAAUUGUCCCUAGUGUCUGUGUGUAGGAUAGUGUUAGUGUUCUGGGCUA